CCUACGGGAGGCAGCAGUGGGGAAUAUUGCGCAAUGGGGGAAACCCUGACGCAGCAACGCCGCGUGAGUGAGGAAGGACUUCGGUCUGUAAAGCUCUGUUAAUGAGGAAAAAUGGUAGUUGGUCUAAUAGGCCGAUUAUUUGAUGGUACUCAUAGAGGAAGCACCGGCUAACUUCGUGCCAGCAGCCGCGGUAAUACGAAGGGUGCAAGCGUUGUUCGGAUUUAUUGGGCGUAAAGCGCGCGUAGGCGGACCCGCAAGUCAGAUGUGAAAUCUCGAGGCUCAACCUCGAAACUGCGUCUGAAACUACGGGUCUAGAAUCUCGGAGGGGGAAGGGGAAUUUCGCAUGUAGGGGUAAAAUCCGUAGAUAUGCGAAGGAACACCAGAGGCGAAGGCGCCUUCCUGGACGAGUAUUGACGCUGAGGCGCGAAAGCGUGGGGAUCAAACAGGAUUAGAUACCCUGGUAGUCCACGCUGUAAACGAUGAACACUAGGUAUUGGAGGAUUUGACCCCUUCAGUGCCGUAGCUAACGCGUUAAGUGUUCCGCCUGGGAAGUACGGUGCAAGCUAAACUCAAAGGAUUGNGNGNGNGNGNGCGAGCGACACGAGGAGAGG
rnacentral:rRNA from 1 species